GCCAUUCAAGUUAUUGGAGGCAUUGCCUGCCAGUGACAACUGUUUAACGGCCGCGGUAUCCUGACCGUGCAAAGGUAGCAUAAUCAUUUGUUCUCUAAAUAAGGACUUGUAUGAAUGGCCGCACGAGGGUUUUACUGUCUCUUACUUCCAAUCAGUGAAAUUGACCUUCCCGUGAAGAGGCGGGAAUGCACAAAUAAGACGAGAAGACCCUAUGGAGCUUUAACUAACCAACCCAAAGAGAAUAGAUUUAACCAUUAAGGAAUAACAACAAUCUCCAUGAGUUGGUAGUUUCGGUUGGGGUGACCUCGGAGAAUAAAAAAUCCUCCGAGCGAUUUUAAAGACUAGACCCACAAGUCAAAUCACUCUAUCGCUCAUUGAUCCAAAAACUUGAUCAACGGAACAAGUUACCCUAGGGAUAACAGCGCAAUCCUAUUCAAGAGUCCAUAUCGACAAUAGGGUUUACGACCUCGAUGUUGGAUCAGGACAUCCUGAUGGUGCAACCGCUAUCAAAGGUUCGUUUGUUCAACGAUUAAAGUCCUACGUGAUCUGAGUUCAGACCGGA
rnacentral:rRNA from 1 species